rnacentral:rRNA from 1 species
UACGUAGGGUGCAAGCGUUAAUCGGAAUUACGGGGCGUAAAGCGUGCGCAGGCGGUUCUAUAAGACAGAUGUGAAAUCCCCGGGCUCAACCUGGGAACUGCAUUUGUGACUGUAGAGCUGGAGUACGGUAGAGGGGGAUGGAAUUCCGCGUGUAGCAGUGAAAUGCGUAGAUAUGCGGAGGAACACCGAUGGCGAAGGCAAUCCCCUGGACCUGUACUGACGCUCAUGCACGAAAGCGUGGGGAGCAAACAGG